rnacentral:rRNA from 1 species
CGCGUAUAAGCGAACUAAAACGACGAGACCAAGAACGACGACGAAGAAGAAACGAAGCCCCUUAACCCAACAGACUAGACUCACCCACGUUGACGUUGGCGUUGGCGUUGGCGUUAGCUAGAAAAAAGAAAUAAAAAGAAAGAAAGACACACCACGACGACGAUAGUCGAGGUUACUAACCAACCACUCGAAAAGAACCGAAAACUCACGCCGCUAUCCAUACACCGAUCGACCAGAGAGACUUAACGCUCCCGAAGAAGAACCACAAAGACAGGCCCAAGAAGUCAAGUCCUCGACCCUCUCUAACCCUCGGGACCGACACCUAAAAUCACGUCGGACCUCAAACAAAAGAACUCCUUGACUUCCAUAACCCCCCAAAACCGGCGUUCAAGAACCAAGGGGACAAAAACAACGGACUUCUUUAAUAGGGGAGAAGUGGAGAAACGAUGGUCACCUCGACCGAAACCUCGAACCAAUGUCACCCUUAAGGAAGGUAGAAACGAACGACUAGGAACUUAGAAACAAAGUAACCUACGGAACUACUUUGGGUACGAUUUAGUAGGGCUUAGUAGCCACGUGCGGGCAUAGAAGCCACCAACGACGACUCGACCACUUCCUCGGGGCUCCUCAGGACGCGUGCGGAGUCGGCAGUUAUUAACUAGUCUGUUCCGUCCAGUUAAUCUUAGCACUAACUCAACUGAAGUGUUCACCGUACGUCAACGAAGUAUUCACUCGUCAGUUUCAACACUGUACAGAUUAAUAAUGAGCUCGGGCCCACUGCUUUCCCUGGGCGUUUGGUACAUGAGUGGUCUGUGCCCUUUGCGUAGUAUAGGGCACGGCAGUCGGGACCCCUAGAACGAGAUAAGUUUGUUACGUAGAAGACCUGGUAUAUGCCUUAAGUCACCGUAAUAGGUCGGGGUCGUCUUAAAGUACCUCGACGUACCGGUAGGAAGUCUUGUAAGUAGUAGUUCCCUUGGAGGAUUGUACCAGUGGAGCGAAUGUCUCGUUUCGAGGAAACGAGGACAGUUUCUAUACUCCUUACUCUACAAUUACGUAAAGUACCUACCACGUGUCUCACCACGACCACCACCACUAGAGUAGGUGUUACUACGGGUAUCGUCACGUGUCGAACUAAAGCCGAACAACUUGUUGGGGUCAAGCCGCUCACAAGGUAGCCGUGGUCCGGUUCCUAACAGGGACUCGGAGUUGUGCGUAUAGGACCGUGGAAGUAUGGGUAUGACCAGGGGUUUCGGUCUGAACGACUGUUGGGUUAGAAUGGUCCCGCUACUUUUGUCUUACUUCUUAUACGUCAGCCUCCGGAGUGCCCGUUAGUCCUUAAGCUUCAUAGAUUUCCGUCGUGUUCUUAACGAACUACUCUAACAGUCACAAACCUUCUCAUAUUUCGUCUUGCGCGUCUUUCUGUUCCAACUUCGUCCUUUUUACCUACCGUUUCUACGGCUACUCCACAACUUUUCACUCCCCCAUAGAAGGUUAGGUGUCCUCAGAUGACGGUUACGCCUUGGACUCUAAAGACGUCGACUCUUUGUUCUCGAGGUCUUAUUCUACCGCUUUGAAAACCGGUACGACCUACUCCAACUGGCUUUCAUGUUCGUAAUAAAGGUAGUUUACGUUUAACAUCACAGCAGAAAGCUAUACUAACGACCCAGACCUCGACGGUUUGGAAUAUGACGUCAACGGGAAGUCUGUUAUAGCGCCGUGAAGGCUACAGACUUCCUACGAUAGUUGCUGGUCCAAUUACAAUAGGCUUUCUUUGACCCUCUCCUCCUAUCAAGUAGCCCGUCUCUCCCGUUCAAUUGAGCGGAGGCAAUGUAACUAGUCGUCAAUUCCGUUGUUGCUCGAAAGGUUGUCAUACCAUACAAUGGCGUUUUACGGACCUCCGGUGUCUCCCCUGACGGACUUUUGAGUCAAAGUUAAGAAGCACGAACCGACAAACUUGUGAAGGAAGUGGGCAUAGGUUUUCUAAGUCUUUUCGAUUACGAUCGCUCCGUUUGACCAAAUUGUUCUUCAGUCUAAAGCUUGACCAAGUAGUUACGGGCACAGGCGGAUACCUUUGGCUACUAGCUUCUGUACAUAUUUCUUCUCUGGCCCCUCCGUCUCGAGCUGAGUUUGAGGAGGAGCCUGUUGAAUGGUUCUUCGUUCCUGUUUUACCGCAGAACACUUCUGUUCCUUCUAGACUUUACGAGGUACUCGGUCCCGGUCCGAAUGGUUUGUUCACUCAAGUUUCGGUUGUACCUCUACCGCCCAGAGUGGCCUCGCGGCGGGUCGAAGGUGUCGCUCCGUUUGAGGCUGCUGCCGAAGUACUUGGACGACGACUUCCUGGUUUCUGGCCCGCUCCGCCUGCCGCCAGAGGAGGUACCGCUGCUCUCGCGCGCCAAGUACCGGAUGGUAAACCGCCUCGAGCCCCCUAUGGUCUUGUCGUUGCACAGCAACUGCGAUCCUGACGUCGUGCGGCUCUUGUCGGAGAGUCGAGGCUUGCGAGUGGCCGGUCCCAAGUGCCGGCCGCCUCCCCUUCUCCUAUAGAUGUUGUGGUGGCCCCGAGUAGGGCCGCCACCGCUGCGGCACCGGAGAAGCCUGAUGCUCGGCUGCUUGGUCGACCUAGUUGCCGUCGUCAAGCUCGGCAGCGGGGACGACGUGCUAAAGCACCGGACUUACUUGACUUUGCGAGCGGCCACUUGUAACCUCCCUCUACUACUAAUAAAACAUUAAACAUCCCGGUACCAUUAUUGCACGGACCUCUUCGUACCUUUAACAUCGACAUCAACGUAAACCAUAUCUUCUCUCUCCCCCAUAUCGUACUUUACAUAAUAUUUAAACACCCCCACCCCCACCCCCACCCCAUUUAUUAAAAACAUUUCUACUUACCCUUACCCAAUAUGCACAUUUUCCAAUACUGCCCUCUGCGUGGUAGGACAUUUCUUCAAUGCCAUUGCUUAUGAAGACCUGUCAAUAGAUAGCCCGUAUACUCUCCAUUAUAGUGGCCACCACGAACUUGAAC